AGUCGUGGCUGGAGCUGCUGGUUGUGCCACACUGCCUGAAGCCGUCUGCUGGGACUGUGCCAACAAGGUCGCAGUGGGACACUCACGUGCCAUGUGCCUCUCCUGUCCGCAUCUGAAGCAGGCUGUAGUCCCAAACCGACAAACCCCCUUGUGCGGCUUUCCACACCUCAUGCAUCCUGAACUGUCUGAACCAGAGCUCGAGCCACCCCCCAUUCCCAGACCUGAUUUCAACCUGUUCCAGAACUUGUUCUUCUUAGGCUUGGCUUUGCUCCACUUUUUACUACCUGAGGCUGCUGCACUCAGAGAAGAGAGAUCAAACUUUCCUGAACCUGGGGUCUUAGAACCCGAGGGCUGUGCCACCUGCUGCUUCA
rnacentral:lncRNA from 1 species